rnacentral:rRNA from 1 species
GACGAACGCUGGCGGCGCGCCUAACACAUGCAAGUCGAACGGAGUCAAGAGGAGCUUGCUUUUCUUGACUUAGUGGCGAACGGGUGAGUAACGCGUGAGUAACCUGCCCUGGAGUGGGGGACAACAGUUGGAAACGACUGCUAAUACCGCAUAAGCCCACGGAUCCGCAUGGAUCUGCGGGAAAAGGAUUUAUUCGCUUCAGGAUGGACUCGCGUCCAAUUAUCUAGUUGGUGAGGUAACGGCCCACCAAGGCGACGAUUGGUAGCCGGACUGAGAGGUUGAACGGCCACAUUGGGACUGAGACACGGCCCAGACUCCUACGGGAGGCAGCAGUGGGGGAUAUUGCACAAUGGGGGAAACCCUGAUGCAGCGACGCCGCGUGGAGGAAGAAGGUUUUAGGAUUGUAAACUCCUGUCGUUAGGGACGAUAAUGACGGUACCUAACAAGAAAGCACCGGCUAACUACGUG